rnacentral:misc_RNA from 1 species
UAAUAAGUGUUUUAUGGCACUUUUUAAAUCCAUAUCCACCUUGUGUGCAAUGUCAGUCGAUCUUCUUCAUGGAGAUCGACCAAACAUCAACCUUUAUCCUUUAACUCUUUGUCUGAAAAAUAUUAUGAAUAAACUAAUUCAAAAUA